rnacentral:rRNA from 1 species
CCUACGGGAUGCUGCAGUGGGGGAUAUUGGACAAUGGGGGGAACCCUGAUCCAGCGACGCCGCGUGAGUGAAGAAGUAUUUCGGUAUGUAAAGCUCUGUCAGCAGGGAAGAAAGAAAUGACGGUACCUGACCAAGAAGCCCCGGCUAACUACGUGCCAGCAGCCGCGGUAAUACGUAGGGGGCAAGCGUUAUCCGGAAUUACUGGGUGUAAAGGGAGCGUAGACGGUUAAGUAAGUCUGGAGUGAAAGGCCGGGGCGCAACCCCGGGACUGCUCUGGAAACUAUUGAACUUGAGUGCAGGAGAGGUAGGCGGAAUUCCUAGUGUAGCGGUGAAAUGCGUAGAUAUUAGGAGGAACACCAGUGGCGAAGGCGGCUUACUGGACUGUAACUGACGUUGAGGCUCGAAAGCGUGGGGAGCAAACAGGAUUAGAUACCCAGGUAGUC